rnacentral:rRNA from 1 species
GACGAACGCUGGCGGCGUGCUUAACACAUGCAAGUCGAACGGAAAGGCCCUGCUUGCAGGGUACUCGAGUGGCGAACGGGUGAGUAACACGUGGGUGAUCUGCCCUGCACUUCGGGAUAAGCCUGGGAAACUGGGUCUAAUACCGGAUAGGAGCCAUUUUUAGUGUGAUGGUUGGAAAGUUUUUUCGGUGUAGGAUGAGCUCGCGGCCUAUCAGCUUGUUGGUGGGGUAAUGGCCUACCAAGGCGGCGACGGGUAGCCGGACUGAGAGGGUGGACGGCCACAUUGGGACUGAGAUACGGCCCAGACGCCUACGGGAGGCAGCAGUGGGGAAGAUUGCACAAUGGGCGCAAGCCUGAUGCAGCGACGCCGCGUGGGGGAUGACGGCCUUCGGGUUGUAAACUCCUUUCGCUAGGGACGAAGCUUUUUGUGACGGUACCUAGAUAAGAAGCACCGGCUAACUACGUG